rnacentral:rRNA from 1 species
GAUGAACGCUAGCGGCAGGCCUAAUACAUGCAAGUCGGACGGGAUCCAUUGAUAGCUUGCUAUCAAUGGUGAGAGUGGCGCACGGGUGCGUAACGCGUGAGCAACCUGCCUCCAUCAGGGGGAUAGCCUCUCGAAAGAGAGAUUAACACCGCAUAAUAUCAACAGUUCGCAUGUUCAGUUGAUUAAAUAUUUAUAGGAUGGAGAUGGGCUCGCGUGACAUUAGCUAGUUGGUAGGGUAACGGCUUACCAAGGCGACGAUGUCUAGGGGCUCUGAGAGGAGAAUCCCCCACACUGGUACUGAGACACGGACCAGACUCCUACGGGAGGCAGCAGUAAGGAAUAGUGGUCAAUGGGCGGAAGCCUGAACCAGCCAUGCCGCGUGCAGGAUGACUGCCCUAUGGGUUGUAAACUGCUUUUGUCCAGGAAUAAACCUAAAUACGAGUAUUUAGCUGAAUGUACUGGAAGAAUAAGGAUCGGCUAACUCCGUG